AACGAACGCUGGCGGCAGGCCUAACACAUGCAAGUCGAGCGAAGCCUUCGGGCUUAGCGGCGGACAGGUGAGUAACGCGUGGGAACGUGCCCUUUGGUACGGAGUAGCCCCGGGAAACUGGGAGUAAUACCGUAUGUGGUCGAGAGACGAAAGAUUUAUCGCCAAAGGAUCGGCCCGCGUUGGAUUAGGUAGUUGGUGGGGUAAUGGCCUACCAAGCCGACGAUCCAUAGCUGGUUUGAGAGGAUGAUCAGCCACACUGGGACUGAGACACGGCCCAGACUCCUACGGGAGGCAGCAGUGGGGAAUCUUAGACAAUGGGGGAAACCCUGAUCUAGCCAUGCCGCGUGAUCGAUGAAGGCCUUAGGGUUGUAAAGAUCUUUCAGUGGGGAAGAUAAUGACUGUACCCACAGAAGAAGCCCCGGCUAACUCCGUGCCAGCAGCCGCAGUAAUAC
rnacentral:rRNA from 1 species